rnacentral:lncRNA from 1 species
CGGCGGUGGGGGGAGCUACAGCCACAGAGGGGCAGGGCCCGUGGGGGUGCGGGAACCCCUGCCCCCGCUGCUGGCCGUCGCCAGGAGGCCGUGCCCGCUCCCCCGCCCGGAGCCCAGGGCCUCUGGCUCUUCUGGGAGAGGCACGGACGUGGCCGGGGCGUCUUUGGAGCAUCCUGCUGGCCCGGCUGGCCUCGGGGGGUCUCAGAGCCCGAGUCGGUCGGCAGCCUGCAGCCGCAGGAGCCUGGGACGCGGCACAGCGCCUGCCUGACGCCGUCCCCCGCCCGUGUCCCCAGCCGUGGGCCCGCAGCCGCACACAGCCCCACUCGUUCACGCUUGGGGGUGAAGCAGCUCUCAGGCGCCGAGUGUCGGGGCGCGUGUGCCUCCUCCCACCCCUGUGACCCAGGAGGCCCGGCCACAGACAGAUGGCAGGGCCUGGCAGGGUGGGGGUGGCGGCAGGCGUCCCAGCCACGGGGGACCCGGGCUGGGGGUGGGGCCGUGGGCCGGGGCCUGGCGACAGGAAGCGUCCGCAAGGGGAAGGCGUGGGGAGGGCGCAGCCGAGACAUCCUGGCCCGUGGCCCUGAUGGGACGGUGGCCACUGAGCAGGACGGCGGCCAGCUGGGCUGGGACAGGCUCCCGGGCGCCCGGGCCUGUCGUGCCGACCGUGGGCCUCUGCUCACGGAGCCCCUGCAGGCGGGCGUGGAGCCUCAGCCACGCACACAGCACCGGGGGCCCGGCCAGGAGCGGCCCGGGAGGCACAAUCCUCCCUUUGUUCCGCGGCUGCCGGGAGCCCGCGGCCAAGAGGAAACGGGGGAGCGGCCAGCAGCCCUCACCGCCGGCAGGCCCCGCUCCAGGGCCCGGGGACGCCAGGCUGCGCCCGCGGAGCUGCUGGGGGGGGGGAGCACGGGGGAGCCUGGGCCCUCCGCCUCAGGUCAGGGCCCCCGCUCACGGCCCCGAGGGCACAGCCCCAGGUCACGGCCCGGUUACAGCCCCCCCCAGGUCACAGCCCCCAGGGCAUGGCCCCAGGUCACGGUCCCCCCCCCACCCCGUCGCAGCCCCCCCCCAGGUCACAGCCUGUGGUCACAGCCCUCGGUCAUGGUCAUGGCACCGCCCAGGUCACGGCCCCAGGUCACGGCCCCCAGGUCUCAGCCCCCCACAGGUCACAGCCCCUGGUCACAGCCCCAGACAUGGCCCCCAGGUCACGACCCCUGGUCACAGCCCCCAGGUCAUGGCCUCAGGUCAUGGCCCCAAGUAUGGCCCCUAGGUCACAGCCCUAGGUCACAGCCCGCCCUGUCACAGCCCCAGGUCACGGCAUACCCCCUCCCCCACCUGGGCAACCCGCAGGCUCCUCUUCCUCCGCCCUCCUGUCCCUAG